rnacentral:tRNA from 1 species
GUGCCCCCGGCAGGAUUCGAACCUGCGCACACGGCUCCGGAGGCCGUUGCUCUAUCCCCUGAGCUACGGGGGC